UACAUUUCAUUUCCCCUGAAGACUCAGGGCUCAGUAUUACACACAUGUAUGUGAGCCAAGCUGAUCUGUAUCAUGUUUGGCUGAACUCUGUAACAACUUUGCUGGGUCACUUAUCUGAGUGCCUGGCAAACAUUUGAGCCGUGCAGACAUCACUGCUGCUACAAGCCACUCAAGUAGUCACCAACCACUACACUUCGCAGGCAGCAGUUGGAUGAGCAAGUGAGGUAAGCUAAGAUGGAGCGACGGAGACAGGAAAAGGUGACAUUGGGAGGCAGCCUUGGGACAUCCUUCUCUGGCAGGUGUGGUGCAGGCCUGGAGAAGGUGAAGGACAAGCGAAGAGCCUCAUUAAAGGAUUGGCGAACAAAUCUUGUGGUCCAAUUCGACUGCGGUCCUCCAACUGGAUCACAAACAUCGGUUCAGGUUCAAGUGACGCCACUCACGCCGUCAGUCAGGCAACUACUGUCAUCCACAAGUAAUGGAAGGAAGAAAGAGGAGAGAGAUAGAAGACAAAGAAGGAAGAGGACAUAAGAACGAAGACAAUAGAAGAGGAAGGAAAAAAGAAGAAAUGAGAGAAAGAUAGAGGAGAGAGAAAGAUAGAAAGAUAAAGAAGAAAUAAAGGAGAAGUAUAAAGAAGAAAUAAAGGAGAAAGAUAAGAAGAGGAAGGGAAAAAAAGAAAUGAGAGAAAUCUCUCUCUCUCUCUCUCUCUCUCUCUCUCUCUCUCUCUCUCUCUCUCUCAUGCCUAGUAGAAGAACCUGGUGAGUCCCCGUCAGAAACUUGAAAACAUUUUCUGUUCCAGCGAGAGCUCGCGAAAGACUUCCCAACACGUGCGAGUGACUGGAUGGUCUGGGAAGUACUCACCCUGGAAACACAGUGAGGGAUUAAUAAAAGGAAGGAUAUUGGCA